GCCAGGUUAGGGUCCUCUUCUUAGGAUCAGAAGGCACUACUGACCACCAGCAUUCUUUCCAACCAGGCAGUUCCAUCCAGGAACAGGUAUCCUUGUUGGUAACUGGAUAAAAUCCUAUGGACUUGCUGAACCAAAAGAAAUGAGCAUUUUGAAGCCUUUGAACAUUUUGUCAAAUGACCCUCCAAGAGAAUGUAAACUCUCGCUCAGCGCCAAGCACAGCAUCAUCAGUGCCUGUCAAAGUGCCUCGCAUAUAGUUCAUCCUCGAUAAAUACAUGUUGAAUAGAUGAAUGCACAGGAAAAAGGAAAUAAUUUUAGUAUUGCGCUAACCAAGCAUAAUACUCAAGCUAAAACUAAUGUAAAACUUACCACCAGCUGCCUUCCGGAAACAAGUGAAAAAAGACAAGAGACACCACAAACAAUGGUGAGUCAAGACUGGUCAGUAACUACAGAUCCCAAAGCUCCAGCUGAAGAUGGCUCUCCUACAUCAGACUGAUCUAGGAGAACCCAACCUAGUAUCAGCACCCCUUCACACCUAGUAUCAGCACCCCUUCACACCUAGUAUCAGCACCCCUUCACAUCUAGUGUCAGCACCUCUUCACACCAAAUAUCAGCACCCCCUGUCUCAUGGGAGGGCAGAGGUAAUGCUUGUACCAGUUCCCCAUGCCUGAGCCUUACCAGGGAGCCAGCACUGUAGCUGGUGUAUCACAUGCGUUAGCAUGCACAGGCCUCACAACUCUGCAGUAUCAUCAUUCCCACUCU
rnacentral:lncRNA from 1 species